rnacentral:rRNA from 1 species
CCUACGGGUGGCAGCAGUGAGGAAUAUUGGUCAAUGGACGAGAGUCUGAACCAGCCAAGUAGCGUGAAGGAUGACUGCCCUAUGGGUUGUAAACUUCUUUUAUAUGGGAAUAAAACGUUCCACGUGAGGGAGUUUGUAUGUACCAUAUGAAUAAGGAUCGGCUAACUCCGUGCCAGCAGCCGCGGUAAUACGGAGGAUCCGAGCGUUGUCCGGAUUUAAUGGGGUUAAAGGGAGCGUAGGUGGAUUGUUAAGUCAGUUGUGAAAGUUUGCGGCUCAACCGUAAAAUUGUAGUUGAGACGAGCAGUCUUGAGUACAGUAGAGGUGGGCGGAAUUCGUGGUGUAGCGGUGAAAUGCUUAGAUAUCACGAAGAAUUCCGAUAGCGAAGGCAGUUAACUGGCCUGCAACUGACACUGAGGCGCGAAAGUGUGGGUAUCAAACAGGAUUAGAUACCCCAGUAGUC